rnacentral:rRNA from 300 species
CAGUGAUAAACUGGAGGAAGGUGGGGAUGACGUCAAGUCAUCAUGGCCCUUACGACCAGGGCUACACACGUGCUACAAUGGCGCAUACAAAGAGAAGCGACCUCGCGAGAGCAAGCGGACCUCAUAAAGUGCGUCGUAGUCCGGAUUGGAGUCUGCAACUCGACUCCAUGAAGUCGGAAUCGCUAGUAAUCGUGGAUCAGAAUGCCACGGUGAAUACGUUCCCGGGCCUUGUACACACCGCCCGUCACACCAUGGGAGUGGGUUGCAAAAGAAGUAGGUAGCUUAACCUUCGGGAGGGCGCUUACCACUUUGUGAUUCAUGACUGGGGUGAAGUCGUAACAAGGUAACCGUAGGGGAACCUGC